rnacentral:rRNA from 1 species
UCGAACGGAGCUGAGAGGAGCUUGCUUUUCUUAGCUUAGUGGCGAACGGGUGAGUAACGCGUGAGUAACCUGCCCUGGAGUGGGGGACAACAGUUGGAAACGACUACUAAUACCGCAUAAGCCCACGGAUCCGCAUGGAUCUGCGGGAAAAGGAUUUAUUCGCUUCAGGAUGGACUCGCGUCCAAUUAGCUAGUUGGUGAGGUAACGGCCCACCAAGGCGACGAUUGGUAGCCGGACUGAGAGGUUGAACGGCCACAUUGGGACUGAGACACGGCCCAGACUCCUACGGGAGGCAGCAGUGGGGGAUAUUGCACAAUGGGGGAAACCCUGAUGCAGCGACGCCGCGUGGAGGAAGAAGGUUUUCGGAUUGUAAACUCCUGUCGUUAGGGACGAUAAUGACGGUACCUAACAAGAAAGCACCGGCUAACUACGUGCCAGCAGCCGCGGUAAAACGUAGGGUGCAAGCGUUGUCCGGAAUUACUGGGUGUAAAGGGAGCGCAGGCGGACCGGCAAGUUGGAAGUGAAAACUAUGGGCUCAACCCAUAAAUUGCUUUCAAAACUGCUGGCCUUGAGUAGUGCAGAGGUAGGUGGAAUUCCCGGUGUAGCGGUGGAAUGCGUAGAUAUCGGGAGGAACACCAGUGGCGAAGGCGACCUACUGGGCACCAACUGACGCUGAGGCUCGAAAGCAUGGGUAGCAAACAGGAUUAGAUACCCUGGUAGUCCAUGCCGUAAACGAUGAUUACUAGGUGUUGGAGGAUUGACCCCUUCAGUGCCGCAGUUAACACAAUAAGUAAUCCACCUGGGGAGUACGACCGCAAGGUUGAAACUCAAAGGAA